rnacentral:rRNA from 1 species
GAUGAACGCUAGCGGCAGGCUUAACACAUGCAAGUCGAGGGGUAUAGUUCUUCGGAACUAGAGACCGGCGCACGGGUGCGUAACGCGUAUGCAAUCUACCUUUUGCAGAGGGAUAGCCCAGAGAAAUUUGGAUUAAUACCUCAUAGUAUGUGAGAAUGGCAUCAUUUUCACAUUAAAGUCACAACGGCAAAAGAUGAGCAUGCGUCCCAUUAGCUUGUUGGUAAGGUAACGGCUUACCAAGGCUACGAUGGGUAGGGGUCCUGAGAGGGAGAUCCCCCACACUGGUACUGAGACACGGACCAGACUCCUACGGGAGGCAGCAGUGAGGAAUAUUGGACAAUGGGCGCAAGCCUGAUCCAGCCAUGCCGCGUGCAGGAUGACGGUCCUAUGGAUUGUAAACUGCUUUUGUACAGGAAGAAACACUGGUUCGUGAACCAGCUUGACGGUACUGUAAGAAUAAGGAUCGGCUAACUCCGUGCCAGCAGCCG